UGGGGAAUAUUGCACAAUGGGCGCAAGCCUGAUGCAGCGACGCCGCGUGAGGGAUGACGGCCUUCGGGUUGUAAACCUCUUUCACCAGGGACGAAGCGCAAGUGACGGUACCUGGAGAAGAAGCACCGGCCAACUACGUGCCAGCAGCCGCGGUAAUACGUAGGGUGCGAGCGUUGUCCGGAAUUACUGGGCGUAAAGAGCUCGUAGGUGGUUUGUCGCGUUGUUCGUGAAAACUCACAACUCAAUUGUGGGCGUGCGGGCGAUACGGGCAGACUAGAGUACUGCAGGGGAGACUGGAAUUCCUGGUGUAGCGGUGGAAUGCGCAGAUAUCAGGAGGAACACCGGUGGCGAAGGCGGGUCUCUGGGCAGUAACUGACGCUGAGGAGCGAAAGCGUGGGGAGCGAACAGGAUUAGAUACCCUGGUAGUCCACGCCGUAAACGGUGGGUACUAGGUGUGGGUUCCUUCCUUGGGAUCCGUGCCGUAGCUAACGCAUUAAGUACCCCGCCUGGGGAGUACGGCCGCAAGGCUAAAACUUAAAGGAAUUGACGGGGGUCAUAGCUG
rnacentral:rRNA from 1 species